rnacentral:rRNA from 1 species
CCCUUAGAGUUUGAUCCUGGCUCAGAGUGAACGCUGGCGGUAGGCCUAACACAUGCAAGUCGAACGGCAGCACAGAGGAGCUUGCUCCUUGGGCGGCGAGUGGCGGACGGGUGAGGAAUACAUCGGAAUCUACUCUGUCGUGGGGGAUAACGUAGGGAAACUUACGCUAAUACCGCAUACGACCUACGGGUGAAAGCAGGGGACCUUCGGGCCUUGCGCGAUUGAAUGAGCCGAUGUCGGAUUAGCUAGUUGGCGGGGUAAAGGCCCACCAAGGCGACGAUCCGUAGCUGGUCUGAGAGGAUGAUCAGCCACACUGGAACUGAGACACGGUCCAGACUCCUACGGGAGGCAGCAGUGGGGAAUAUUGGACAAUGGGCGCAAGCCUGAUCCAGCCAUACCGCGUGGGUGAAGAAGGCCUUCGGGUUGUAAAGCCCUUUUGUUGGGAAAGAAAUCCAGCUGGUUAAUACCCGGUUGGGAUGACGGUACCCAAAGAAUAAGCACCGGCUAACUUCGUGCCAGCAGCCGCGGUAAUACGAAGGGUGCAAGCGUUACUCGGAAUUACUGGGCGUAAAGCGUGCGUAGGUGGUCGUUUAAGUCCGUUGUGAAAGCCCUGGGCUCAACCUGGGAACUGCAGUGGAUACUGGACGACUAGAGUGUGGUAGAGGGUAGCGGAAUUCCUGGUGUAGCAGUGAAAUGCGUAGAGA